AUUGAACGCUGGCGGCAGGCCUAACACAUGCAAGUCGAACGAGUGGCGGACGGGUGAGUAAUGUCUGGGAAACUGCCUGAUGGAGGGGGAUAACUACUGGAAACGGUAGCUAAUACCGCAUACCCUCAGAUGUGCCCAGAUGGGAUUCGCUUGUUGGUGGGGUAACGGCUCACCAAGGCGACGAUCCCUAGCUGGUCUGCGAGGAGGACCAGCCACACUGUAACUGAGACACGGUCCAGACUCCUACGGGCGGCAGCAGUGGGGAUUAUUGCACAAUGCGCGCAAGCCUGAUGCAGCCAUGCCGCGUGUAUUAAGAAGGCCUUCGGGUUGUAUAGUACUUUCAGCGGUGAGGCGUUACCCGCAGAAGAAGCACCGGCGAACUCCGUGCCAGCAGCCGCGGUAAUUC
rnacentral:rRNA from 1 species